UUUAUAGAGAGUUUGAUCCUGGCUCAGGAUGAACGCUGGCGGCGUGGAUAAGGCAUGCAAGUCGAACGAAAUAUAUUAAUUUAAUAUAUUUAGUGGCAGACGGGGUAGUAACACGUAGGAACUCACCCCAGAGACGGGCAUAACUAGCCGAAAGGUUAGCUAAUUCCCGAUGGCAUCCGCCAUAGCUUUAGCGAAGGCGGAUUAAAGUCGCAAGACACUCUGGGAAAGGCCUGCGGGCUAUCAGCUUGUUGGCGAGGUAACGGCUCACCAAGGCUAUGACGGCUAGGGGGAGUGAGAGCUUGACCCCCACCAAUGGAACUGCGACACGGUCCAUACACCUACGGGUGGCUGCAGUCGAGAAUAUUCGACAAUGGGCGAAAGCCUGAUCGAGCGACGCCGCGUGCAGGAAGAAGGACUUCGGUCCGUAAACUGCUUUUCCAUGGGAAAAAGUAAUUGAUUGUACCGUGGGAAUAAGUGGCGGCAAACUUCGUGCCAGCAGCAGCGGUAAUACGAAGGCCACAAGCGUUAUCCGGAUUUAUUGGGCGUAAAGAGCGCGUAGGAUUCCUGAUACAUCUUUGGU
rnacentral:rRNA from 1 species